UGGAUCUCGAAGUGUACACACGUAUCGCAGAUGAUUCUUCUUGAUAAUAAAUAUAACAGGUAUUAAUAUAAGACUUAAAUUAAACUUGCUGUAUUCAAUGAUCGAUGAGAGUAUAAAAGAACCGAAAACUUGUCGUCAAAUUCAUACUUUAGAAGUACACUAACAGUAGCCAUACAUUGAUGCAAAACGUAGUCAUAGUACGGAGCAUAGUAUAAAGCCGCCAUUAGAUUUCGUCUUACUGCAGCAUCGUUAUGUAGAUCUAAUUAAUGAAUCCAGAAUACUACGGCGUGUUAUCUGUUUGCAGCAAUGCCUCCAUUGUCAACACUCGUAAGGUUCAACGACGGAAGUAGAAGAAAUAUGGUCGGUCUCUGAGAAACAGGAAGAUCUAGGGUUUAAUUCUAAUAACAUAGCAUUAAGUACAGAUUUAACUCCGACGCUUGUGGUUUCACAAACACGUUCAAGGAAAAUGAAGUGCACGAUGUGUUAGUCGUAGUAAUGCGAAACGUUUCUUGCCGUUUUCAAAUUUACGUGAAUGAGAUAAUAUUUCGUUAAAGUACGAUAUGACUUUAUUGUUAAUAUUUGUUACGUUUAGAUAAGCUGUUAAGGUUUUUAUGAUAUUUUGUUUACUUUUUUUUUUUCAAUUGAAAGAAAGAUAACACAGCUGACAUUUUUUGUAAUACAAUGUUACAGAUAGAAAUGUUUAUAUCAAAUGGGAUUGGAGAUAAGGUAUGCUAAAAUGAUCUUAUACAAAUUAAAAAGCUUUAUCCUUGAUAAUUCAAAGGACAAAGUCGAGAACAAAGAGCGAUUCGUCAGACACCAAGAUGUCGGCCAAAGAUUAAAGUUUCCUCAGUUAAUCUUUAUCGUAAAUCUUAAUUAAAUAUCCUCGCUUGUUAUAAGAAGAUGGUCGACAUGUUAUAGUCAACGAGUUUUUAGAGACUAUUAUAUUAUUUUUCAAGAUUCAACGUAUAAUCUCUAUUUGAGAAAUAUCAUUUUAAUUAAUUAUUUUAUAAAAUAAUUAACAUAUAUAGGCCUUGUUACAGUUUAUUUUAAUAAGCCUAAUAACGUGUCGGUAUCGUUACUUUCACGAAAUUAUUUCUCAAAACUACUGUUUCUCGAAACUGCUUUUCGAUCUCAUUUGCGAACUUUUGACAGAAAGUCGUUUUAUGAUAGAACGAUUGAUAUCGCGAAAAGAAAUGAGAAAAGUAGUCGUACGACUCUAGAUUAAAAAACUUUUUAAUCGAGCUGUACACGCAUGUAUUCUUUUAGAAUUUUAAUUUAUUUUAUCAUUGUGGUACUGUC